UUUGUCCCAAGGAAACUAUAUACGGGCGACGUGGAAGCUAAGAACUUACCUGAAACUUCCAUGGAGACCAUUGAUAUCGAUCGAUGGAAGUACGGUCUAUGAACUUGAUAGAGACUUCAAAAUUGUGAGGCAUGUUGAGAGCUGGAGUGUCUCUGCGGUUGAAGCAAUCAGGCAGAUAUUCACCUUCAACUCUUUCACCUCUCGGAGCUGAGAAUCUAAAGCACUAGAGAUUCAUGUAUUUGGACAUGGUCAGAUAAUGACUACUAUCUCUUAUUAUAUUUGUAAAUGUAAAUUCACCAAAUUUUACAUCCAUUUAAAGUUGUGUGAUGCUAAAAUAUGUAGUUUGUGUUA